UGUGCUAGCUAUAGCUUUUCUGCAGGCAUAUCGACGCACCGUUCCAGCCCGACUUGAGUCAGUUUUGAAUCGAGCGGCGUACAGAGUAGAGGUAGCCAUUUUUACACACUCCAACCGUGCCCUCCGUGUUAAGCAAAGCAAGCAGUGAAGCAAAAAUUAUCACAGGCAAUUUUUUAGUUUGUUUUACUGCCCCGAAGUACAGUGUGCUCCUACUGACUGACUAGUUUUUGUUUUGGUACACUGAACCGAAAAGCCGCCCGGAGUUUCCUCGUGCGGAAUUUCAGAACACACGAUAUAGUAAAAAGCAAAAAAUCGUCCCGGGACACGUACUACCGAGAAAUUAAGUUAACAAAAAAAGAAUAAAAGGGAAUUUCUUACCUGUUUUCGCCCCCGCGAGAUUCGAAACCAGCUUCGCACACCGUGCAACGCACAGAAAAGUACGUAGAAAGUAACUUCGUUUGUUCGAUAGUUUUUGCAUAGCAUAAGCAAAAAUUAGCUGUGAAACAAGCUGACAAAAAAGAACGCGAAUCAGUUUAUGCUAAAAAGAAGAAAAGUGCUUGUAUAAAAAGAAGAAAAAUUGUUUCGAAUAUCUAAAGAAGAAAAGUUGUGGCGGAGAAGACCACCACCACCACCAGCCGUACCGCGAAAAAAAAGUGCUCUAGUGUAAAGUGAGAAAAUCAUUCUUUGCAGAUUAGCAAAAAUAGUGCAUUUUCUGAUAACCCCUCGAUCGUCGCCAGCAGCGAAAAUAAUACACCUCUCAGUACGUGAGCAAACAGUGAAAUACCAAUCGAAGUGAAAACGCACGGUGCUUGUUUUGUGGCGCGAGCUCUGUCCAAAAAAAAAAUAAUUGACAAGCCCCUUGGUCAACCGGGUUCUGCCUACCUGUCUGCCUUUGCCAGCGUCUGUGCAGAAUCUAGCUAGAAGAAGCUGAAGAGUGUGCAGCAGAAGGGAAAGAUAUCCCCCCCCCCCAGAAAAUUGAUAGUGCACCACCUAGCCUGCUGCUGCGACCGGAGGAGCAAACCGUGAAUAGAGUAGUAUCGCAUCGCAACGCAACGUAACGUAACAAAACAAAACGGAGAAUGUCGACCGCGAUUAUGCACACCGGGGCGUUCUAUGAUUUUGGUGAUUUCACACUAAAG